AUCGGGAUUACUGUGGCGUAAAGGGUCUGUAGGUGGUUUGUUAAGUCAGAUGUGAAAGCCCAGGGCUCAACCUUGGAACUGCAUUUGAUACUGGCAAACUAGAGUAUGGUAGAGGAAUGGGGAAUUUCUGGUGUAGCGGUGAAAUGCGUAGAGAUCAGAAGGAACACCAAUGGCGAAGGCAACAUUCUGGACCAAUACUGACACUGAGGGACGAAAGCGUGGGGAUCAAACAGGAUUAGAUACCCUGGUAGUCCACGCUGUAAACGAUGAGUACUAGCUGUUGGAUUCGGUGUAAAGGAUCUAGUGGCGUAGCUAACGCGUUAAGUACUCCGCCUGGGGACUACGGCCGCAAGGCUAAAACUCAAAGGAAUUGACGGGGACCCGCACAAGCGGUGGAGCAUGUGGUUUAAUUCGAUGCAACGCGAAGAACCUUACCUGGUCUUGACAUCCUGCGAACUUUCUAGAGAUAGAUUGGUGCCUUCGGGAACGCAGUGACAGGUGCUGCACGGCUGUCGUCAGCUCGUGUUGUGAAAUGUUGGGUUAAGUCCCGCAACGAGCGCAACCCCUAUUGAUAGUUACCAUCAUUAAGUUGGGUACUCUAUUGAGACUGCCGCUGACAAGGCGGAGGAAGGUGGGGACGACGUCAAGUCAUCAUGGCCCUUACGACCAGGGCUACACACGUGCUACAAUGGGUAUUACAGAGGGCAGCGAAGUAGCGAUAUGGAGCGAAACUCAGAAAGGUACUCUUAGUCCGGAUUGCAGUCUGCAACUCGACUGCAUGAAGUCGGAAUCGCUAGUAAUCGCAGGUCAGAAUACUGCGGUGAAUACGUUCCCGGGUCUUGUACACACCGCCCGUCACACCAUGGGAGUGGGUUGCUCCAGAAGUAGAUAGCU
rnacentral:rRNA from 1 species